UCUCUUGUAAUUUUGAGUUGUUGUAGAUAUUCGAGGUAAUUAGAUUAAUCUUUUGGAGUAAAUGAAUUUUACGAUUAUUUCCUAGUAGAAUAUUGGAGUUAUCUUAUAUGAAAUUUUGAGUGAUAGUAUGAGGAAAUCUUGAAAUUUGUUGGGUUAAGAUUUGCAUUAAGAGAAUGAUUGAUUCAUUGAAUGAUUAGAUAUAUAAUAAGUGAUGAAUCCAAUAUAUUUAAGAGAUUUUUAAAGUUAUAGUUUGCUUAUUCAGAUAGUAGGAUAUAUGAUUUGGAGUUUGGUAUGGUGAUGAAGAGAUCUUAGUAGUAGUAUAUUUUUGGUGUAAUAUUAUUUGAGAACUAAUUUGAUUUGAGGUUAUGAUAUUUUGAAACUCUUAAGGACUUAGUGAGAGUUGGUGAUAUAAUUUAAGUUGUUUCAUUUAUCUGAUA
rnacentral:lncRNA from 1 species